GCUACACCUGGCAUACUGGGAGUUGUCGUCUUUGAUUAGCUUCCAGUUUUUUAAUUGCAGGGCGACCGGAUUACAAUCACAGCCAGCAUGAACAUGGGGCGGCGCACAGUCCUGAAGAGGAAAGCCGGGCUGUGUUGACCUCGCUGUGCAUGCUGGGAGUUGUAGUCUCUUCACUGCUCCCGCCCGUUGUUUCAGGCACUUCGGGACUACAAUCCCAGCAUGACCCGGGCUCGGGGACGGGGCGCAGUUCUCGUGGGAGGAGCGGGGCGGUGAGAGCCUGGCUAGGCAGGCUGGAAACAGUAGCUCUUAACGGUCCCCCGCCCGUUGGUGGCAAGGCGGCUGGACUGGAAUCCCAGCAGGCGACAUGCGAGGAGGCGGGCAGCCCAGGAGGGUUGGACACGGCAAUGUGGACCUCGCCGCUUCCACAACGAUGCUGGCUACUGAUCGCGUGCACUUCCUUGCCAAAGAAAAGAAAUUAAUGUUAUGACUGGAUGAAGACAAUUGUGAAGAAACUGCACUUUGAGGUUGUCUAUCUCUGUAUUCUGAUGGAAAAGCGUGGAGUUUAGAAGCACUGCUCACUCCUUCAGUUUCUAACAACAUCUGCACCGUGUUUUAUAUUUCGGAC
rnacentral:lncRNA from 1 species